UACGUAGGGUGCGAGCGUUAAUCGGAAUUACUGGGCGUAAAGCGUGCGCAGGCGGUUUUGUAAGCCAGGUGUGAAAUCCCCGGGCUCAACCUGGGAAUGGCAUUUGGGACUGCAAGGCUGGAGUGCGGCAGAGGAGAGUGGAAUUCCUGGUGUAGCGGUGAAAUGCGUAGAUAUCAGGAGGAACACCGGUGGUGUAGACGGCUUUCUGGACCGUAACUGACGCUGAGACACGAAAGCGUGGGGAGCGAACAGG
rnacentral:rRNA from 1 species